AUUUAUAUAAUUUAAAAAGAAUAUUGCAUUGAAGCUGCAAAAGUGAUUAAUUUAUCUGUAAAUA
rnacentral:tRNA from 1 species